rnacentral:lncRNA from 1 species
CAGCUCCCGCAGUGUGGUUUCGGGUUUGCUUGUAUCUGGGCUCGCAAUGGAACAUCCAGGCAACGAUUAAGUCAGUGGCAAGAUGACAACUAAGAGACACCCAAAGGGAGAGAAGCCCAGCCUCCUUCAUGAAGGUGUUGCUGGAGGAAUUUAUGAGACUUAGAAGAACACAUGAAGCUGGGAAAUAGUAGCGUGUGCCUUUAAUCCCAGCACCCAGGCGGUAGAGGCAUUGUAGAUCUCUGUAAGUUCAAAGCCAGCCUGGUGUACAAGGAUCCAAUCUGAUUCUCUACAUCUUCACC